AUCAACGCUGGCGGCGUGCCUAACACAUGCAAGUCGAACGAGAAAGUCCCCGCAAGGGGACGAGUAAAGUGGCGCACGGGUGAGUAACACGUGACUAACCUGCCUUCGAGUGGGGGAUAACCCCGGGAAACCGGGGCUAAUACCGCAUAACACCGAGAGGUCAAAGGAGCAAUUCGCUCGAAGAGGGGGGGGUCGCGGCUGAUUAGCUAGUUGGCAGGGUAAUGGCCUACCAAGGCGAUGAUCAGUAUCCGGCCUGAGAGGGCGCACGGACACACUGGAACUGAAACGCGGUCCAGACUCCUACGGGAGGCAGCAGUGGGGAAUUUUGCGCAAUGGGGGAAACCCUGACGCAGCAACGCCGCGUGGAGGAUGAAGGUCUUUGGAUUGUAAACUCCUUUCGACCGGGAAGAUGAUGACGGUACCGGUAGAAGAAGCACCGGCUAACUCUGUGCCAGCAGCCGCGGUAAUACAGAGGGUGUAAGCGUUGUUCGGAAUUAUUGGGCGUAAAGGGCGCGUAGGCGGUGUCGCAAGUCGGUAGUGAAAUCUCCAGGCUCAACUUGGAGUCUGCUGCCGAAACUGCGGUGCUUGAGUGUGGGAGAGGUGAGUGGAAUUCCGGUGUGUAGCGGUGAAAUGCGUAGAUAUCGGGAGGAACACCUGUGGCGAAAGCGGCUCACUGGACCACAACUGACGCUGAUGCGCGAAAGCUAGGGGAGCAAACAGGAUUAGAUACCCUGGUAGUCCUAGCCCUAAACGAUGAACACUUGGUGUGACAGGUACCCAAUCCUGUCGUGCCGGAGCUAACGCGUUAAGUGUUCCGCCUGGGAGUACGGUCGCAAGGCCUGAAACUCAAAGGAAUUGACGGGGGCCCGCACAAGCGGUGGAGCAUGUGGUUCAAUUCGACGCAACGCGAAGAACCUUACCUAGGCUCGAAAUGGAGUGGAAUCCGGUGGAAACAUCGGCGCCCGCAAGGGCCCGCUCUAUAGGUGCUGCAUGGCUGUCGUCAGCUCGUGUCGUGAGAUGUUGGGUUAAGUCCCGCAACGAGCGCAACCCUUAUCGUUAGUUGCUAACAGGUUAAGCUGAGCACUCUAGCGAAACUGCCCCGGACAACGGGGAGGAAGGUGGGGAUGACGUCAAGUCCUCAUGGCCUUUAUGUCUAGGGCUACACACGUGCUACAAUGGUCGGUACAAACCGUCGCAAAACCCGCGAGGGGGAGCUAAUCGGAAAAAGCCGACCUCAGUUCGGAUUGGAGUCUGCAACUCGACUCCAUGAAGCUGGAAUCGCUAGUAAUCGCGGAUCAGAACGGCCGCGGUGAAUACGUUCCCGGGCCUUGUACACACCGCCCGUCACAUCACGAAAGUGGUUGGUACUAGAAGCCGGUGCGCGAACCGCAAGGACGCAGCCGUCCAAGGUAUCAAUCAUGAUUGGGGUG
rnacentral:rRNA from 1 species